UACGGCCAUAUCAAAAGACCGGUUUUCAUACGAUCACCGAAGUUAAGCAACGUCAAGCAUGGCCAGUAGCUAGAUGGGUAACCGCUAUGGAAUACCAGGUCCUGUAU